rnacentral:rRNA from 1 species
GAUGAACGCUGGCGGCGUGCCUAAUACAUGCAAGUCGAGCGAACGGACGAGAGGCUUGCUUCUCGGAUGUUUUCGGCGGACGGGUGAAUAACACGUGGAUAACCCACCGAUAAGACUGGUAUAACUUCGGGAAACCGGAGCUAAUCCCGUAAAAGAUUUUGAACCGUAUGGUUCAAAAGUAAAAGACGGUCUUGCUGUUACUUAUAGAUGGAUCCGCGCUGCAUUAGCUAGUUGGGAAGGUAACGGCUUACCAAGGCAACGAUGCAUAGCCGACCGGAGAGGGGGAUGGGCCAAAUGGGAACGGAGACACGGCCAAAAUUCCUCGGGGAGGAAGAAGAAGGGAAUCUCCGGAAAUGGGGGAAGGCUUGCCGGGGCAACGCGGCGUGAGGAAUGAAGGUUUUGGGAUCGUAAAACUCGGUUAUUAGGGAGGAACAGAUGUGUAAGUAAAUGUGCACAUCUUGACGGUACCUAAUCAGAAAGCCACGGCUAACUACGUG